CUGACGGGGCGCAGCCUGACCGCAAUGCCGCGUGAGUGAAGAAGGCCUUCGGGUUGUAAAGCUCUUUUGUCAGGGAAGAAACGGUGGACUCUAAUACAGAUCACUAAUGACGGUACCUGAAGAAUAAGCACCGGCUAACUACGUGCCAGCAGCCGCGGUAAUACGUAGGGUGCAAGCGUUAAUCGGAAUUACUGGGCGUAAAGCGUGCGCAGGCGGUUUGGUAAGACAGAUGUGAAAUCCCUGGGCUCAACCUAGGAAUUGCAUUUGUGACUGCCCGACUAGAGUGUGUCAGAGGGGGGUAGAAUUCCACGUGUAGCAGUGGGGGGGGGAGAGAUGUGGAGGAAUACCGAUGGCGAAGGCAGCCCCCUGGGAUAACACUGACGCUCAUGCACGAAAG
rnacentral:rRNA from 1 species